rnacentral:pre_miRNA from 1 species
AACCUACUCCCUCCGUUCCGAAUUACUUGUCUUAGAUUUGUCUAGAUACAUCCGUAUCUAGAUUCAUUUUAGUGCUAGAUACAUCCGUAUCUAGACAAAUCUAAGACAAGUAAUUCAGAACGGAGGGAGUACUUA